AGUCGAGCGAACAGAUAAGGAGCUUGCUCCUUUGACGUUAGCGGCGGACGGGUGAGUAACACGUGGGUAACCUACCUAUAAGACUGGGAUAACUUCGGGAAACCGGAGCUAAUACCGGAUAACAUUUGGAACCGCAUGGUUCUAAAGUGAAAGAUGGUUUUGCUAUCACUUAUAGAUGGACCCGCGCCGUAUUAGCUAGUUGGUAAGGUAACGGCUUACCAAGGCGACGAUACGUAGCCGACCUGAGAGGGUGAUCGGCCACACUGGAACUGAGACACGGUCCAGACUCCUACGGGAGGCAGCAGUAGGGAAUCUUCCGCAAUGGGCGAAAGCCUGACGGAGCAACGCCGCGUGAGUGAUGAAGGGUUUCGGCUCGUAAAACUCUGUUAUUAGGGAAGAACAAAUGUGUAAGUAACUGUGCACGUCUUGACGGUACCUAAUCAGAAAGCCACGGCUAACUACGUGCCAGCAGCCGCGGUAAUACGUAGGUGGCAAGCGUUAUCCGGAAUUAUUGGGCGUAAAGCGCGCGUAGGCGGUUUCUUAAGUCUGAUGUGAAAGCCCACGGCUCAACCGUGGAGGGUCAUUGGAAACUGGGAAACUUGAGUGCAGAAGAGGAAAGUGGAAUUCCAUGUGUAGCGGUGAAAUGCGCAGAGAUAUGGAGGAACACCAGUGGCGAAGGCGACUUUCUGGUCUGUAACUGACGCUGAUGUGCGAAAGCGUGGGGAUCAAACAGGAUUAGAUACCCUGGUAGUCCACGCCGUAAACGAUGAGUGCUAAGUGUUAGGGGGUUUCCGCCCCUU
rnacentral:rRNA from 1 species